UCAGCUCAGCUGGUAGAGUGUGAGACUCUAAUCUCAGAGUCAUGGGUUUGAUUCCCCACAUUGGGCAAAA